UGAACCCUGCUGUUCACGUGAUGCGCCACGCGUCUUGAGCCAACAUUUCCUUGAUAGGGAGCCUCUGUUUUAGAGGGGAUGCGGUAGCCCUUUACGGGCAAGGCAAAACCUUCUAUCCAAGCGCCCCCCUGCUUAAAAGCAGGUUCAAGGACAAAUGGAUUGCACACGGUUCAGUGGGGGGAAU
rnacentral:other from 1 species